rnacentral:rRNA from 1 species
UACGUAGGGACCAAGCGUUGUUCGGAUUUACUGGGCGUAAAGGGCGCGUAGGCGGCGCAACAAGUCACUUGUGAAAUCUCCGGGCUUAACCCGGAGCGGUCAAGUGAUACUGUCGUGCUAGAGUGCGGAAGGGGCUACUGGAAUUCCUGGUGUAGCGGUGAAAUGCGCAGAUAUCAGGAGGAACACCGGUGGCGAAGGCGGGUCUCUGGGCCGAUACUGACGCUGAGGAGCGAAAGCGUGGGGGAGCAAACAGGA